rnacentral:rRNA from 1 species
GACGAACGCUGGCGGCGUGCUUAACACAUGCAAGUCGAACGGGGCUCAUCGCUUCGGUGGUGGGUCUAGUGGCGAACGGGUGAGUAACACGUGGGCAACCUGCCCCCGGCUCUGGGAUAACUCCAAGAAAUUGGGGCUAAUACCGGAUGUGACCGCUGGCCGCAUGGUCUGGUGGUGGAAAGGGUUUCCGGCUGGGGAUGGGCCCGCGGCCUAUCAGCUUGUUGGUGGGGUAGUGGCCUACCAAGGCGACGACGGGUAGCCGGCCUGAGAGGGUGACCGGCACACUGGGAGUGAGACACGGCCCAGACUCCUACGGGAGGCAGCAGUGGGGAAUAUUGCGCAAUGGGCGGAAGCCUGACGCAGCGACGCCGCGUGGGGGAUGACGGCCUUCGGGUUGUAAACCUCUUUCAGCAGGGACGAAGCCGCGAGGUGACGGUACCUGCAGAAGAAGCACCGGCCAACUACGUGCCAGCCGCCGCCGUAA